AGUGAACGCUGGCGGUAGGCCUAACACAUGCAAGUCGAACGGCAGCACAGUAAGAGCUUGCUCUUACGGGUGGCGAGUGGCGGACGGGUGAGGAAUACAUCGGAAUCUACUUUUUCGUGGGGGAUAACGUAGGGAAACUUACGCUAAUACCGCAUACGACCUACGGGUGAAAGCAGGGGAUCUUCGGACCUUGCGCGAUUGAAUGAGCCGAUGUCGGAUUAGCUAGUUGGCGGGGUAAAGGCCCACCAAGGCGACGAUCCGUAGCUGGUCUGAGAGGAUGAUCAGCCACACGGGAACUGAGACACGGUCCAGACUCCUACGGGAGGCAGCAGUGGGGAAUAUUGGACAAUGGGCGCAAGCCUGAUCCAGCCAUACCGCGUGGGUGAAGAAGGCCUUCGGGUUGUAAAGCCCUUUUGUUGGGAAAGAAGAGCAGCAGGUUAAUACCCCGCUGUUCUGACGGUACCAAAAGAAUAAGCACCGGCUAACUUCGUG
rnacentral:rRNA from 1 species